UCACCAGGUCCAGGCGGGCUGAGCGCGCAGGUUUUGGCGAUAUUGUCAGUGUUCUUGUGAACAGCUGAAGCUCUCGGCUGAAAGAGGGAAUCUCUGGGCAAGACCACUUACCCCAGGACUUCCUUCAAAACUCAUCUCAAGCCUGGCCUCUGCUGCCCCCGGAAGAGGCAGGGACCGGAUCAUCUGGUUGCCUCAGUCCCUCAUCUGGGCCCUUGUGUCCUAUCUGCCCAGUGGCUGGGAGGGACUGGUGAGGAUGCUGCAGUGCCUUACCUUGUUGACCUCCCCCUCCCACCACCCCCACGGGACCUCAGCAGGUCUCUAGGCUGUCUGGGCCUAGAUUCCGGAAUGGUCUAUCUUUCACUCCUGCCGCCGCUCUCCGGCAUGGCCCAGACUCCCCCGGCCUGGUCUGCCUCUGCAGAGAGAAGCGGAGAGAAUUCUUCCUGCCUGCCAUCGCUAGACUCCCCAACCUUGGCCUUGCUAGGGAUGGAGCAGGUUGGAACGGUCUCCUGAAGUGGACCAUCCUUCUCUGGAGUUUCUUGAGAAAAGGUCAAUUGCCGCUGUUCUGGGAUAUUUGGGGUGCGGCUUUGCCUGGAGGCAGGGGGACGGACUGGAUGAUCCAGUGCCCACCUUCCUGGCACAGUGAGUCCUAAGUAGCCUGGAAGGUGUCAAGACCCUCAGAGCUACACAGCUUCUGGCCUUGGCUAUCAGUUGACAAGCAGCAUGGCUCAGUGGAAAGAGCCCGGGCUUGGGAGUCAGAGGUCAUGGGUUCGAAUCCCGCUCUGCCACUUGUCAGCUGUGUGACUGUGGGCAAGUCACUUAACUGCCACUUGUCAGCUGUGUGACUGUGGGCAAGUCACUUCACUUCUCUGGGCCUCAGUUACCUCAUCUGGAAAAUGGGGAUUAAGACUGUGAGCCCCACGUGGGACAACUUGAUUCCCCUGUGUCUACCCCAGCUCUUAGAACAGUGCUCUGCACAUAGUAAGCGCUUAACAAAUACCAACAUUAUUAUUAUUAAAGUGUGUGUGUUUGGGGGGCGGG
rnacentral:lncRNA from 1 species